rnacentral:rRNA from 1 species
CUACGGGAGGCAGCAGUGGGGAAUAUUGGACAAUGGGCGAAAGCCUGAUCCAGCCAUGCCGCGUGUGUGAAGAAGGCCUUCGGGUUGUAAAGCACUUUCAGUGGGGAAGAAAGCCUUGGGGCUAAUACCCUCGAGGAAGGACAUCACCCACAGAAGAAGCACCGGCUAACUCCGUGCCAGCAGCCGCGGUAAUACGGAGGGUGCGAGCGUUAAUCGGAAUUACUGGGCGUAAAGCGCGCGUAGGCGGUCUGAUAAGCCGGUUGUGAAAGCCCCGGGCUCAACCUGGGAACGGCAUCCGGAACUGUCAGGCUAGAGUGCAGGCGAGGAAGGUAGAAUUCCCGGUGUAGCGGUGAAAUGCGUAGAGAUCGGGAGGAAUACCAGUGGCGAAGGCGGCCUUCUGGACUGACACUGACGCUGAGGUGCGAAAGCGUGGGUAGCAAACAGGAUUAGAUACCCCGGUAGUC